UAUGUAGGGUGCAAGCGUUAUCCGGAAUUAUUGGGCGUAAAGAGCUCGUAGGCGGUUUGUCGCGUCUGCUGUGAAAACCCGAGGCUCAACCUCGGGCCUGCAGUGGGUACGGGCAAACUAGAGUGCGGUAGGGGAGAUUGGAAUUCCUGGUGUAGCGGUGGAAUGCGCAGAUAUCAGGAGGAACACCGAUGGCGAAGGCAGAUCUCUGGGCCGUAACUGACGCUGAGGAGCGAAAGCAUGGGGAGCGAACAGG
rnacentral:rRNA from 1 species